GGGUUGUGAGGUUAAGCGACUAAGCGUACACGGUGGAUGCCCUGGCAGUCAGAGGCGAUGAAGGACGUGCUAAUCUGCGAAAAGCGUCGGUAAGGUGAUAUGAACCGUUAUAACCGGCGAUGUCCGAAUGGGGAAACCCAGUGCAAUUCGUUGCACUAUCGUUAACUGAAUACAUAGGUUAACGAGGCGAACCGGGGGAACUGAAACAUCUAAGUACCCCGAGGAAAAGAAAUCAACCGAGAUUCCCCCAGUAGCGGCGAGCGAACGGGGAGCAGCCCAGAGUCUGAAUCAGCUUGUGUGUUAGUGGAACGGUCUGGAAAGUCCGACGGUACAGGGUGAUAGUCCCGUACACCAAAAUGCACAGGCUGUGAACUCGAAGAGUAGGGCGGGACACGUGGUAUCCUGUCUGAAUAUGGGGGGACCAUCCUCCAAGGCUAAAUACUCCUGACUGACCGAUAGUGAACCAGUACCGUGAGGGAAAGGCGAAAAGAACCCCGGCGAGGGGAGUGAAAAAGAACCUGAAACCGUGUACGUACAAGCAGUGGGAGCACCUUCGGGUGUGACUGCGUACCUUUUGUAUAAUGGGUCAGCGACUUAUAUUCUGUAGCAAGGUUAACCGUAUAGGGGAGCCGCAGGGAAACCGAGUCUUAACUGGGCGUUAAGUUGCAGGGUAUAGACCCGAAACCCGGUGAUCUAGCCAUGGGCAGGUUGAAGGUUGGGUAACACUAACUGGAGGACCGAACCGACUAAUGUUGAAAAAUUAGCGGAUGACUUGUGGCUGGGGGUGAAAGGCCAAUCAAACCGGGAGAUAGCUGGUUCUCCCCGAAAGCUAUUUAGGUAGCGCCUCGUGAAUUCAUCUUCGGGGGUAGAGCACUGUUUCGGCUAGGGGGUCAUCCCGACUUACCAACCCGAUGCAAACUACGAAUACCGAAGAAUGUUAUCACGGGAGACACACGGCGGGUGCUAACGUCCGUCGUGAAGAGGGAAACAACCCAGACCGCCAGCUAAGGUCCCAAAGUCAUGGUUAAGUGGGAAACGAUGUGGGAAGGCACAGACAGCCAGGAUGUUGGCUUAGAAGCAGCCAUCAUUUAAAGAAAGCGUAAUAGCUCACUGGUCGAGUCGGCCUGCGCGGAAGAUGUAACGGGGCUAAACCAUGCACCGAAGCUGCGGCAGCGACACUAUGUGUUGUUGGGUAGGGGAGCGUUCUGUAAGCCUGCGAAGGUGACCUGUGAGGGUUGCUGGAGGUAUCAGAAGUGCGAAUGCUGACAUAAGUAACGAUAAAGCGGGUGAAAAGCCCGCUCGCCGGAAGACCAAGGGUUCCUGUCCAACGUUAAUCGGGGCAGGGUGAGUCGACCCCUAAGGCGAGGCCGAAAGGCGUAGUCGAUGGGAAACAGGUUAAUAUUCCUGUACUUGGUGUUACUGCGAAGGGGGGACGGAGAAGGCUAUGUUAGCCGGGCGACGGUUGUCCCGGUUUAAGCAUGUAGGCUGGUUGUCCAGGCAAAUCCGGAUAAUCAAGGCUGAGGUGUGAUGACGAGGCACUACGGUGCUGAAGUAACAAAUGCCCUGCUUCCAGGAAAAGCCUCUAAGCAUCAGGUAACAUUAAAUCGUACCCCAAACCGACACAGGUGGUCAGGUAGAGAAUACCAAGGCGCUUGAGAGAACUCGGGUGAAGGAACUAGGCAAAAUGGUGCCGUAACUUCGGGAGAAGGCACGCUGGUGUGUAGGUGAAGUCCCUGCGGAUGGAGCUGAGACCAGUCGAAGAUACCAGCUGGCUGCAACUGUUUAUUAAAAACACAGCACUGUGCAAACACGAAAGUGGACGUAUACGGUGUGACGCCUGCCCGGUGCCGGAAGGUUAAUUGAUGGGGUUAUCCGUAAGGAGAAGCUCUUGAUCGAAGCCCCGGUAAACGGCGGCCGUAACUAUAACGGUCCUAAGGUAGCGAAAUUCCUUGUCGGGUAAGUUCCGACCUGCACGAAUGGCGUAAUGAUGGCCAGGCUGUCUCCACCCGAGACUCAGUGAAAUUGAACUCGCUGUGAAGAUGCAGUGUACCCGCGGCAAGACGGAAAGACCCCGUGAACCUUUACUAUAGCUUGACACUGAACAUUGAGCCUUGAUGUGUAG
rnacentral:rRNA from 1 species